UGGCUUAGUAGUAAAGAAUCUGCCUGUUAAGCAGGAGACACAGGUUCAAUCCCUGG
rnacentral:tRNA from 1 species